GGUAAACAUCUGGAUCGGAACCGAAGUAAUCCUCAUCGCAGGUGAAGGUGAAGCCGCCGUCCAUCACGAUUCGAAACCCUAGACAGAGAUUAAGAGAGUAAAGCGGAAGGAUUGGUCCUCAUUCGAUUACUGGCAAUGGGGUUGGAUUCAAACCCAAUAUAUUGGACAUGGACAUAAUGGAAAGAGUUCUUGAGCUACUUCGUGUAUGUGAUUUCGCUGACAAAGUCUCAACACCAGUGUGCUUCCAUUGAAUGAAGGAGAGAAUGGAGUCAAAAUGGACUACUUUGACUGGAUGAUUGAUCACUUUCUUGAUUGAAGUGUGAGAUUGUUUUGGAAAACCUGAGAGACGAAUAAAAAUUUUACUUGAAGAGGCACAUGACUGGAAGCUUUCCAUUCCAUGCAGAGUUCUCUUUGGCCGGCCAGCACGUAAUGGACCUCACAGACUAAGCCCAUCUGAGAUGCUCAGUUUCACGAACCUAUCAAAUCAAAGUUGUCAGCUGCUUCAGCCAGGUGUUGGAAAGAGUUGCCUGCUUUUACGAUUCUCUGAUGGCUCCUUCACAACCAGCUUCAUACCACCAUUGGGUUUGUAUUAUUUGAAACUUUGGACAUUUUGUAUUCAGAAACUCUUUAGCAGAUAAAUGUUGAUUUAUCACAUUAAAUCAACUGGAUGAUGAUCUAGGCUGAUAGAAUAUAGAAA